rnacentral:rRNA from 1 species
UACGUAGGGGGCAAGCGUUGUCCGGAAUCAUUGGGCGUAAAGAGCGUGUAGGCGGCUCGGUAAGUCUGCUGUGAAAGUCCAGGGCUCAACCCUGGAAUGCCGGUGGAAACUGUCGGGCUCGAGUCCGGAAGAGGCGAGUGGAAUCCUGGUGUAGCGGUGAAAUGCGCAGAUAUCAGGAGGAACACCAAUGGCGAAGGCAGCUCGCUGGGACGGUACUGACGCUGAGACGCGAAAGCGUGGGGAGCAAACAGG